CCACUGGAGCUUCACAGAAGGCUGUCCUCUUGCUUUGGGUCAUUAGUUUAUUACAUGUCGAUGGGGGCUAUGUGCCAGAUGCGGCCUGUGGGUGUUCCAGAAGCAAAUGUAGUAAAUAUCCACUCUGACCCAGUUGUGUGGGAAAACAAGCAGAUUGAAUGGCCCAUGGAGUAAACUCAUGAGGAAGAAUCAAGUGUAGGAGACUUCAGCAGAUGCAGCCAGGUCCUUUCGAGACACAGGAACUAUUCUUGUUGGAGUUCUGUCUCCAUAGUCUCCCAUCUGUGUAAGAAGCUAGAUCCUUAGUGACUGCUCCUAAUUCUUUCCUCUCUAGGAACACCAACUUGGAUCUUCAGCAUUCCUGACCUCAUUCUUUAUUGUUCUUUUGGCUUCUGAUGAAUUCUAACAUCCACGUUUGUAAUUCUGGCCUUCUGGCUGUUUCCUGCUUCCUUGGUGUGAUGGUUUGGUUUUGAUGUUCUUAAAUCUGUACCAUCCCCAGUCUCUGUUUAAUUUAGUUGAAGAAACUUAGCAAUGGACUGCGAUACAGUCUCCUCAUCCUAACCUGCCAGAGCAUGCUAGGCGGUAGGUAGGGGCUGGUAAUUCACCUGGCUAAGAUUUGACUUUGCCCCUAGAUCUGCACAGCUUUGUUCCAUUACUGCCAACUCGCACGUCCUUAGGGAUGAGUGGGGACCCAGGAAGCAAGGCACCAAAACUUAGCGGUGUCCAGGAGCCUAGAGCCUGAGCUGUCAACAUCAGCUCUGAUGAGCAGCCUGCAGCCUACCAAGACAGAUCUUAGAGGGAGUGAGUGGAUGUUGAAAUUGGCUAUAGUUCCAAAGCUCUCUUCUAGGCCUCCUCUUGGUGUUAAGUCUGGGACCUGAAGCCUCUGCUUUCCAGGGCACCAGGAAUUGGUGACGGUGACAUGGAGACUGAGACCGACAAUGCUGGCCCCAAUCUGCCCCCAACCCCAGGAUGAUGGCAGAGAAAUGGAGCUGCCUGAGGCCCCCUUCACAGAAGUACUGUUGAGGACUGAGAGGAGGGGAGCUGCUAGUUCUGCAAGGCAGCAAGCCAGCAAGUCCAGCAAGGAUCUGGACUUCUCCACAUCCCCUCUCCUUUCCUUCCAAAAUGUGAGUAGACUGGCGGAGGGUCACCACCUGGGGUGUUGCCAGCCAGCCUGCCAGUUUGUGUUUUAGAGUUAGUGGGAGUUAACCGACAGUUGUCUGAAAGCAAAGACAGGACCUGAGGUGGGUCCUGGGGAGCAGUGUCAGUGCCAGAGCAUAGAGCAGGUGAGAAGUACUCAAAGACCAACUGCCUGUUUUAUAGGUUUUACUGAGCUCAUUUAGCCUCAGCUCCUUUGUUGGGCCUGCCUAGAAUACAAUCUACAGCCCAUUGUCUUUGCCCUUAACACACAUAGACUCUCUCAUCACACCAGCUCUUAGUUUGGCUUCUUCCAUGCACUAAUUUGGCUGACCCCAAUCCAUAGAUGCUGUAAUGUUCCUCUGUGUGUCUGGUGGGAACUACAUAUUCCUUCUCUCUGGCAUGUUCAAGCCUCAUGACUGGAGCAGUAGUUCAAGUCUGGCUCUCUCAAACCAUAGAGAAAGAGAUCUUUUCCGUACCCAUGGCUCUAAGCAAACAGUGAGGGGUCCUCACCCCAUAGUGCUGGCAGCAUGGUCACAUUCUCUUUCUACCUUCUCAGCCAGUGUGGCCACAGCCGUCGUUCUCUGUAGUGUCGUGACUCAGACUGGACUUUCGUCUAUACCCGACAGAGUUUGUGCACAUUUUCUGAAAUGGUUAAAUUAAGGGUUAUACAAGUCAUUACGCCAAGUCAUCAAAACAGCAAUUAACUCAAUAACCAUGACAUUAAGCCAGCUGUUACCCGGGGAAUGUAAAAUUGGAAACCAAUGCUACAGUGUGCUUGGCUCACCCAGGAGCUUCCGUGAAGCAAAACUAAGUAUAGUGAGUGUAAAUAUCGUAAAUGUUGCAGUUCAGAGGGGCAAUGGACUACUUCUCUUUUUAGGGGAGAAGAUCAUGGGGACAAAGAAAAAUUCAGAAGAAGGAAAGACAAAAGAGUAUCCAGCCCUAUCAAGUAUGACUUAUAUUAUUCUCAUGUGAAAGAUGAGGAAACAGGGCCCAGUGAGUGAAGUUACUUAACUAAGUCCCCAUGGUUGAUACAGAAGACUGUCAUAUGAACCAGUGAGAGUAACUGAAAUCAAAAAAAAGGCUCCAGCAUCUCGGUAAAAACAUGCCACAAGGGACGAGAAGGAGAAGUUUCAACCAGCAGGCCAAGAGACCAGAGACAAGCCAUGUGUGGACAAGGUUGCAGUGUGGGAAAUAUUUAAUUCCCUGUGGUGAUUGUUGACACAUGGAGCUUGUGAAGCACAGAGCCCCAACUUAUGGAUCUUGUGUUAUAAUUUUUCAAAUACUUCACAGCAGCCGCACUAGCCAUACAACUAACACAAAUAAAUUGUUAUAUUUCUAAACUGUUAUACACUUUGUCAAUUAGCAGCUUAGGGUUCCUUCUGAAUUUCUUGGGAAAACCUCCAGAGAGUCAGCAGUUCUCAAGGUGUGAGAUUCAUCUUCUGUAGCUAUUAGGGUCCCCUUGGGAUGCACCCUCUAGUCUAGAACGGGUCACCUGGAACUGAAAGUCUUCUGAGACACAAGAACGGGGAGCAGUUAGGACUGUGAAGGAAGAUGCGGAGAAAACUUCUCUCUGCUCGAGAGAUGAACCAAAUUUAAAGGGGUGAUGAGAACACUGGCAGAAUGAUAUUUUUUCAGUAUAUUUUUUUAUAUUAAGUGAUUUCCCCAUCUGGUAGCUGCUCUUGCCUCUGCCUCCUUCCCAACCCCAUUCGGGCAUCAUUUCUUAUAUCAGGGUAAAAAACCAGUUUCACCAGAGAACAGGAAAAAAAAAGGCUUUUGAUUUUCUUAAGUCAAGACCCGAAGGGCACUUGGCACAGAAACUCUAAGAUGACUUGGAGUGAGGCUUCUAGGCUCUAGUGGAACAUAAAAUUUUCCGGCUGUGCUGGCGGGGAGGGGAGGAGGAGGGAAGGGAAAGCUAAGGGGGAGUGAGGAAGCA
ensembl:lncRNA